CCAAUGUUUUUAAAAUAACUUUGUACACAGUACGGCAUCCGAGCAUCCAAUGCAGGAAAUUAUAUAACAAAUACUUCAAAUACUUUAAGAGGAAGUAGAAGUGAUCUUUCCACGUAUAUAUCAUCAAACACCCACUACACAUGAACUCCUAUUAUGGUCAUCAACACAAUCGGUUGUAUUUUCAGAUUUUGAAGUAAUCACUGGAACCCCAUUUUAAUCAAUGCACACAUUGCGCAAGGUGCAUGUUCACGUUUAGUGUGAUUUGCGGGCCACAGGCUUUAGUACUAGUACAUCUAAGGCAGAUAAUAAUUUGAAUGGUGAUCUUAUUAAUGCUUCCAUGUACGCAGUGCUAUGUCAAACAUGCAGCUAUGAAUAUGAA